GAUGAAGAACGUAGCGAAAUGCGAUACGUAAUGUGAAUUGCAGAAUUCAGUGAAUCAUCGAGUCUUUGAACGCACAUUGCGCCCGCUAGUAUUCUGGCGGGCAUGCCUGUCCGAGCGUCAUUUCAACCCUCAAGCCCCCGGGCUUGGUGUUGGGGAUCGGCGAGCCUCCGCGCCCGCCGUCCCCUAAAUCUAGUGGCGGUCUCGCUGUAGCUUCCUCUGCGUAGUAGCACACCUCGCACUGGGAAACAGCGCGGCCACGCCGUUAAACCCCCAACUUCUGAACGUUUGACCUCGGAUCAGGUAGGAAUACCCGCUGAACUUAAGCAUAUCAAUAAGCGGAGGA
rnacentral:misc_RNA from 1 species